UUUAUUUGAUUGGUCUACGGAGGGCUAUAACUUAGGAGACGAAACGAGGUACAAAAUCGCACCCAAAAAGAUAGUACGGCAGAGCACAAAUGAGGGCGCUUUGAUUUAAAUUAAUUUAAUUUAAAUCCAACCGAAUCACUACAUUCCAUUUCACUUCAUAGUAAAAUUUUGCAACAGCGCAUUCGAAUGAGGAAGUUUCCAUUUUAUUGAAAUUAAUAAUAGUUUUCAUCAUGGCCUCCUUGAUGUAUGGAGACAACUUCGUUGUUCAGGCCUGGCGCAUCGUUAAGUUCGGCUGAUUCUCCACUGGCGCUGCAUUUAGCGGACUGACGUUUAUUUGACAAAUACCAUUUUUGAGGUUAAAGACUAAUAAAUUUGAAAGAUGUAAGUGUGCAUUCGUGAAAUACGUUGAAAAUGUGAGGAUAAUUCUAAAGUUAUGCCCUGAACGAACGUUUGGAUAGUGUAACUUUUGCAGGAAAUCAUUUUACGAUCAUUAGGAUUUUUUAUUUUCAGCUUCAGAAGAUAUACAAAUUAUUUCAAGGUGAAUUGAUUGUUCAUCGUUUAUAAGUAUUUUAAGCAUAACCUACGGCACUAGUACGCAGACACAGAUGCAGAGAAAACGAUGUUUCAAAGAACCUUCCAUUUAUUAUGCAUACUCUAUGGUUUUACCAAUGGUUAAGAUUGAAUGCGUUACAAAUCUGUGAUUUUUAAGACAUGGCUUAAGUUUUCUGAAAGUUUUAGUAAAAUGUGCAAAGAAAGUCGUUUUUUUCAAAUGAAAUGGUUUAAAAAAGCUCGAUCCAGCGUUCUUCUGCUGCGUUACUCUCUGCUGGAGUGUCUCUGAACCGUCCGUUCCAAAGUCCCUGUCUGGACCUCUGCUCACUCUCAAGCACCGCUCGUGGAUCACCAAACUCCCGAAAAAAAUCUACUACUUUAUAAAUUUUUUUGAGUUUUUGUAUUUAGAAAUUAUCAAUUACAUUGUGGGCUCUUUUUCA